AUUGAACGCUGGCGGCAGGCCUAACACAUGCAAGUCGAGCGAGCGGCGGACGGGUGAGUAAUGUGUGGGAGACUGUCUGAGGGAGAGGGAUAACUAUUGGAAACGGUAGCUAAAACAGCACACAAUCUGAUGUGAACCCAUGGGAUUAGCUGGUAGGUGGGGUAACGGCUCACCUAGGCGACGCUCCCUAGCUGUUCUGAGAGGAUGACCAGCCACACUGGGACUGAGACACGGUCCAGACUCCUACGGGAGGCAGCAGUGGGGAAUAUUGCACAAUGGGCGCAAGCCUGAUGCAGCCAUGCCGCGUGUAUGAAGAAGGCCUUCGGGUUGUAAAGGACUUUCAGCGGGGAGGCGUUACCCGCAGAAGAAGCACCGGCUAACUCCGUGCCAGCAGCCGCGGUAAUUC
rnacentral:rRNA from 1 species